rnacentral:lncRNA from 1 species
CAGGAGCCAAGGAAGUUUAUUUACUCUACUGGGUGACAGGAGGGCAGAGUGCUCCAGAGGAGACCCAGAUACAUCAACCAAGGACUUCCCUGAGAUUUGGCUUUGCUCUUCCAGGGUCAGGUCCUUCCACAGAUACUUCUCGUCAUCCGUCAUCUGGAUGACCAAGGGCACGUUAAAUACAUCCUGGAGCCACCUAAAGAAACACAGGGGGAGAAAGCUGACGUCUCAUCUCCCCUGUGGAGGAACGCCAUCGUGCAUCUGAAAACACAGCUCCUACUUACAACGUAUGUUAAAACUUCCUUGCCUACAAAAUCACAAUUUGAAUUGUGAUAUGAAUUUGACUAUGGAUAAUGAUAAGGUCUACUACCAUUUAUCGACCAGGUGG